rnacentral:lncRNA from 1 species
GAUUUGGGAACUCUUUAUAAAGUACGGUUGGGUUUGGAGAGUUUGCAUUCCAGCACAUCACAGCUGUCUGUUCAUCAUUUUAAAAUGCAGAAUAAAGCAACCUUGGAUACCUUUAGUUGUUCUAUAAAUAAGACACUUCCUCUUUCUUUUAAUGGAGACAGAUGCAUUGAGUUCCCUGUCGAGUGGCCAUUAAAGGAAGCACUGUCUGUUGUUAGAUAUCAGGUGACAGUCUUCUCGAGCAAUUUUUUCCACUUGAAGAGUUUAGUUCAAGUCAGUAUCUGCAUCUUUGGAAACAAUGGAGACACAGGAGAUCGGGCUCUGCUUCUCCCUAUUGAGGAUUCACAACAGCAGAAAGAUGACAAAGAGUCUUUUGUCCUGGAGGCUGUUGAUCUGGGAGAACUACAGUAUGCC